AUCACUUCUGGGCUUUGGCUAAGAUCAUGUGCAGUAUCUAUUCUUAUCAGUUUAAUAUCUGAUACGCCUGCAUCUGAGGAUUAGAUAUUAAAUGGAUUUUUAGGCCUAGGAGUCGGAAGAGGAGCUCGCUCAGUCCGCUGCAUGCAUCGACCUGGUAUUGCAUUACUUCAGGACGGUGGUAGCUUA